CACAGGGAUAGAGUGGUGAAUAGAGUUAUUUGAUUUUAAGAAAGAAAAUCAGGCAAAGAACAUUCUGUGUUUGUAAUGUCCUGGAUCCCUGUGACAGGCCGUUAGAUUAGAAAUAAGUCUGUGGUAUGUGGUGCAGGAUUUAAUGAAACUACAAGAUAAAUUGAGAAGCUAAGGCCAAGGUGAAAACAUAGAAUUCCUGACUCACUCUCUGCUUGGAGCCUCCUGUGCCCUUGGGGAUUGGUGAAAUGAGCAUUCUUGAUGGCAGAAAAGGAAAACAUCUGAUGCAAUUACCAGUCAGUGCUGGGGCUGCCCACAUGCUAGAGGGUCGAUUCUGAAGCUUCACAGCCAGCACAGCCACUGAGGCCUGGGGGAGGCAGCCAUUUUGUUGGCAAAAAAAAAAAAAAGAAGAUAAUGGCUUCUCUCCUGUCUUACUUCAUGGGAUGUAGGGACAGGAUGUGAUGUCUGGAGCUAUGGCAGUCAUGUUGUGAUAUGCCAGGAAGGCAAAUGUGAAAGCUGGAACCCCAACAUCCAUCUUGGGCCAUGAGAUGGUGAAGCCGUAUAUAGAGGUAGGGGGAGCAGAAGGAAGAUGCCUGGGUCUCUGAGGUCUGCAGACCUGCUAUACCAGUCCCGACUGCCUGUAUCUGGACAGAACACAUUUCUGGAAAACAACAAAUUCUGUGUGUUUAAGCCACUGUUCUUUUGAGUUUUCUGCAAGUCACAGAUGAAUCUAAUCCUAAUACUGGAUGGAAAGCUAGCCCAAGAGGAACUCGUUUGAAACCUUCGUGGCUUCCUGUUGCCUGCAGGAGAAAGUCCUGGCUUUCAAGGCCUGUACAAUCUGCCUUAACCUUCCUUUCUAGCCUCAUCUGCAACUCAAAACUUCCAAAUCAUCCUUGGACACUCCAAUCAAAGGUACUAGGACUCAGGAACCAGGUACCAUCUUGAGACCAGAGACCUAACCUGUCUGUGUCUUGAUCUUGGACUUCCCAGCCUCCAGAAGAACCGUGUUUGGACUCAGACUGGGGCUUACACCAUUGGCUCUCCUGGUUCUCAGGUUUUUGGGCUUGGACUGGAACCACACCAUCAGCGUUCCUGCGUCUCCAGCUUGCAGAUGUCAGAUCAUGGGACUUCUCAGUUUCCAUAAUUGUGUGAGCCAACCUCUAAUGAUAAAUCUGGCCUUGGUGACCCAGGAGCCAGGCAGAGAUCCAGGGUUUUG
rnacentral:lncRNA from 10 species